GCGCAAGGUGGACCGGAUGUGAGGGCGCGGCUGCAGGGCCGGCUGGAAGGUGUGUCUCGGAGUAUUUCAAAACUGCACAUUGUAAAAGAGAAACAAGAGUGGCAGGGAUAAUUGGUCUCUGAAAGAUUACUAUAAACUGGACAAAAUACAAAAGCACAGAGAUUUUGGAGAGGAGUCAACACUCAAGAAAAAAAGGGACAUCAGGAUACAUGCAGUUUUGGAAAAAAAAUAUAAUGCUGUGGAGAUAAACUUAUCUUUGUAGCUGAAACAAGAAUUCCUUUGUAGGAAGAGGUCUAACUCUGUUGGAAGAUCAGAGAAAUAGUCACUGAUUGAUCUUCCUGAAACACUUGCUCAAGUGGACAAGUUGGAGCUUGUCAGGAAAUCCAAGAAGCCAAGCAUGUCCAGCCAUUGAAAUGGGACCUUGGAGUACACGGGCCUCUCACUAUUGUGGCCUCUCCCGUUGCGGAGCACAGAUUCCAGAGGCGCAGGCUCAGCGGCCAUGGCCCACGGGCCCAGCCGCUCUGCGGUAGGUGGGAUCUUCCCGGACCGGGGCACGAACCCAUGUCCCCUACAUCGGCAGGCGGACUCUCAACCACAGCACCACCAGGGAAGCCCAAAUUUAUUUUUUAUUGAAGUAUAGUUGAAUUACAAUGUUGUAUUAAUUACUGGUGUACAGCAAAGUGACUCAGUGAUACAUAUAUAUACAUUUUUUUCGUAUUCUUUUCUGUUAUGGCUUAUCACAGGAUAUUGAAUAUAGUUCCCUGUGCUAUACAGUAGGACCUUGUUGUUACUUUUUGCUAUUAUAAAUUUGUAAUAAAAACCUUCUGUUUUUUAUUUUUGCGGUACGCGGGCCUGUCACUGUUGUGGCCUCUCCCGUUGCGGGGCACAGGCUCCGGACACGCAGGCUCAGCGGCCAUGGCUCACGGGCCCAGCCGCUCUGCGGCAUGUGGGAUCUUCCCGGGCCGGGGCACGAACCCGCGUCCCCUGCAUCGGCAGGCGGACUCUCAACCACCACUGCGCCAUUAGGGAAGCCCAAACCUUCUCUUUUGGUAAAGGCAAAUCAGUUUGUUUUGGAGAUUGAUUCCUAAGAUGGAAAUGAUCGCAUAAAGGGUGUGAGCAUUUUAAAUGUCUUAAUAUUGAUUGCUUAUCAAAAUAUGAAGUGCAGUUUACCCUCUGGGACAGAUCUUAAAUUGUAUCCUGGGCAUUGGUGUCCUUAUUUGUGCUCCUAUUGGGGCAGAAGCCUUGGGCUGGAGUCCAGUGGGCAUGGCUGGGCCAUUGACCUUUUCAUUGUUCUUACUAGCUCCUGCCCACAGGUCUGACUCUGUUCUGCACACCUCUAACUACUGUCUUGAGUUUUGUUCCAACUCAGUGAACCUCCCAUAACCAUGGUGCUGCUAGCCCCUACUCUGAGCAUCAGUCCCAUUGCCAAGACUCCUGCUUCUACGCCCUAACACAACAUAGGACCCUUGUGUCUGAUGGACCUACAGUUCCAGUUAGCUCACCCUCCUGGAUAUAGUGGUUUGUACAGAUGACUAAUUAUGCACAAGCCAGGUUCUCCCUCAGGUAAGCCCCUCCCUGCUAAGCCCUGCUUAUUUCCAGCUGAUUUUUAAGAGCAAAGAUUAUGGUAUCAGAUAGAGCUCAGUUCAAAUAUCUACUUUUAUGAGUUUUGCAUAUGUGUCCUUGAAUCUGUUUCCUCACCGUAAACAGGGGUAAUAAUAUGUAGUGAUCUUUACUAGUUUGUAUUUU